rnacentral:rRNA from 1 species
GAUGAACGCUGGCGGCGUGCCUAAUACAUGCAAGUCGAGCGAACGGACGAGAAGCUUGCUUCUCUGAUGUUAGCGGCGGACGGGUGAGUAACACGUGGAUAACCUACCUAUAAGACUGGGAUAACUUCGGGAAACCGGAGCUAAUACCGGAUAAUAUUUUGAACCGCAUGGUUCAAAAGUGAAAGACGGUCUUGCUGUCACUUAUAGAUGGAUCCGCGCUGCAUUAGCUAGUUGUUAAGGUAACGGCUUACCAAGGCAACGAUGCAUAGCCGACCUGAGAGGGUGAUCGGCCACACUGGAGCUGAGACACGGUCCAGACUCCUACGGGAGGCAGCAGUAGGGAAUCUUCCGCAAUGGGCGAAAGCCUGACGGAGCAACGCCGCGUGAGUGAUGAAGGUCUUCGGAUCGUAAAACUCUGUUAUUAGGGAAGAACAUAUGUGUAAGUAACUGUGCACAUCUUGACGGUACCUAAUCAGAAAGCCACGGCUAACUACGUG